GGGGUCGGUAUACAGGUGGUGCAUGGUUGUCGUCAGCUCGUGUCGUGAGAUGUUGGGUUAAGUCCCGCAACGAGCGCAACCCUCGUUCCAUGUUGCCAGCACGUGAUGGUGGGGACUCAUGGGAGACUGCCGGGGUCAACUCGGAGGAAGGUGGGGAUGACGUCAAAUCAUCAUGCCCCUUAUGUCUUGGGCUUCACGCAUGCUACAAUGGCCGGUACAAAGGGUUGCGAUACUGUGAGGUGGAGCUAAUCCCAAAAAGCCGGUCUCAGUUCGGAUUGAGGUCUGCAACUCGACCUCAUGAAGUCGGAGUCGCUAGUAAUCGCAGAUCAGCAACGCUGCGGUGAAUACGUUCCCGGGCCUUGUACACACCGCCCGUCAAGUCACGAAAGUCGGUAACACCCGAAGCCGGUGGCCCAACCCUUGUGGAGGGAGCCGUCGAAGGUGG
rnacentral:rRNA from 1 species